GAGUUUGAUCCUGGCUCAGGACGAACGCUGGCGGCGUGCUUAACACAUGCAAGUCGAACGAUGAACCACUUCGGUGGGGAUUAGUGGCGAACGGGUGAGUAACACGUGGGCAAUCUGCCCUGCACUCUGGGACAAGCCCUGGAAACGGGGUCUAAUACCGGAUACUGAUCCUCGUGGGCAUCUGCGAGGUUCGAAAGCUCCGGCGGUGCAGGAUGAGCCCGCGGCCUAUCAGCUUGUUGGUGAGGUAAUGGCUCACCAAGGCGACGACGGGUAGCCGGCCUGAGAGGGCGACCGGCCACACUGGGACUGAGACACGGCCCAGACUCCUACGGGAGGCAGCAGUGGGGAAUAUUGCACAAUGGGCGAAAGCCUGAUGCAGCGACGCCGCGUGAGGGAUGACGGCCUUCGGGUUGUAAACCUCUUUCAGCAGGGAAGAAGCGAAAGUGACGUAC
rnacentral:rRNA from 1 species